CGCGUGUAGCAGUGAAAUGCGUAGAUAUGCGGAGGAACACCGAUGGCGAAGGCAGCCCCCUGGGAUGACACUGACGCUCAUGCACGAAAGCGUGGGGAGCAAACAGGAUUAGAUACCCUGGUAGUCCACGCCCUAAACGAUGUCAACUGGCUGUUGGGGCCUUCGGGCCUUGGUAGCGCAGCUAACGCGUGAAGUUGACCGCCUGGGGAGUACGGUCGCAAGAUUAAAACUCAAAGGAAUUGACGGGGACCCGCACAAGCGGUGGAUGAUGUGGAUUAAUUCGAUGCAACGCGAAAAACCUUACCUACCCUUGACAUGUCUGGAAUCCCGAAGAGAUUUGGGAGUGCUCGCAAGAGAACUGGAACACAGGUGCUGCAUGGCUGUCGUCAGCU
rnacentral:rRNA from 1 species